rnacentral:rRNA from 1 species
GACGUAGGGCGCGAGCGUUGUCCGGAUUUAUUGGGCGUAAAGAGCUCGUAGGCGGCUUGUCACGUCGUUCGUGAAAACUUGGGGCUCAACCCCAAGCUUGCGGUCGAUACGGGCAGGCUAGAGUUCGGUAGGGGAGACUGGAAUUCCUGGUGUAGCGGUGAAAUGCGCAGAUAUCAGGAGGAACACCGGUGGCGAAGGCGGGUUGCUAGGCUGACACUGACGCUGAUGCGCGAAAGCCAGGGGAGCGAACGGG